rnacentral:lncRNA from 1 species
GGUUUUUUUGGGGGGUGCUGCCAGCUCCAGCGGCCCACGAGACCAUGCAAAAGCUGCUGCCGCCGGCAGUUUCUACCGAUGAAUCUUUCGUCUGGUAAUUUCAUAUGCUGCUGUACGUCGUCCAUUUUGCCUCGCUUCUGCCACAACUCGUGUUUCAAAUUGCAAAACGCCAGGCGUGUUUGCAGGGACUAUGUGUGGUUCCCACGAGCGUUACGUCUGCUCGUCUGAUUCAGAUCGAGCGGUCGGCUGAACUUGAACGGGGGGGACCGGAAAAAAGGCCAAGCGUUCCUGCCCUAUACAUGCUUGCUGGGUGUCAGUGUGCGAGGCCCGUAUGCUGUGGGCAUCAUUGAGAUUUUAUGGAAGGUUUUGCUGGCACAGUGUGUUCUAAUUGUUGAGGGAAGACACAGUUGUGUGGUAGUUAUCGUGUACGUCGCUUAGUUGACUGUCAGCAGCCGGAUGCUCACGAGAGGCUUUCCGAUAUUGGGUGACUCGUAGUGCGUUCUUGCAUCGCCAGAACACGAAGGGGAGCUGGCAUCCACCGUGGGCUUCAGGCGAGUCUGGAGUUUCCCGUGGCAACUUUAUUUCCGAAGCACACUGUGAGCUACUUCCAGGUCACCUUUUGACUGAAUUACUGGGCAGUUGACUGGCCCUUGCUUGAAGUGAGGCGCAUUCCGUUGACGCACCGAGGACUCCUCUGCAGGCGAUUUGUUAGUGUUGGAACUCGAGCCUCAUCAUUUGAUGCUGUGAUCGAGUUGCGGCGAUAGUAGGGAACAGUCGGUACUGUGGGAAUGCGCGAUAUCGGUGUUCUAGCGCCGACCGAGGCAUGUUGUUCAAACCCGCAGCACAGGUGCGACGUCAUCGCACGUGUAUACCUACCCCUACACUGUAACGGCGAGCGACGGAUUUCAAUCCAACCCCACCGUACGCUGACUAGAAGAGGAUGUCAGAUUUAAAACGGCAGCGAGUGAGCUGGUGAGAGACCCUAACGGAGAAGGGAAGGAAGUUCAAACUGAGGGGCACGAGCGGAUGCAAUUCGACUCGGUGGCAACUAUCCAUCUUCGAUGUAACGGUGCCUCAUCUCACUGUGAACGUAGAGAACGAACGCUAGGAGACCACACCACUUAUGAGACGUACCGGUCUAUAUGUGCACCCGAUAGUUGGCGUCUCGGAGGCGGUUAGAACGCAAAUAGAGGAUGAGAGAUGGGCAACGUUAGCUGCACACACACUUUUCCAGAGGCGGUUUUGAUUGAUAGAGCACUGAGCUUAGUUUCGAACCCGAGGGUACUCCCGAAUGCUUGGGCCUCAGGGAGGGACAGGUACGAUGUCUAGCAUUCGUGACGUGAGCUUGUGGCAUGACCAUGCUCGCGACACCACCGUCCUAAUACAGAGACGUUGGUCGUACCAUUGAGGUUUGCUUGCCUCCAACAACAAAAGAACCCGGGACAUGGCGUUGGAGACUCCGUACAAGAUUGAAUGCAGUGCAGCUACACAUUCUAGGUGGUUAUUCUGAACACAGAGCUUUUGUUGUUCCGAAAGUGCACAGGGGCAACACGGUCACCACCAAAAACAAGCGCGGUUUUCUCAUCCAAUCACGAUCGAGAAUGCCUUUUCGCGACACAAACCCACCAACGCGCUUUUUUGGAUAGUCCACGCCUCGAGAUCGGUUGGAGUUCCUGGCCUUGCUAAAUCGUUGUUAGAGAUGCCUGAGAUUUCUUCCUUGUCGUGGAGGGUGGGGUGUGUCAUCAACAGUCGGUUCCACUGCACCAUUUCUUCGUCACGUGCCAUCGGUUUCGUGGUCAGUUGUAAACACACUUCAUUCCGAGCGGCCGAAUAGAAAUCCGGCUUCCUGCAAGUUAUCUGGGUUCUUUUGGCCUGCGCGUAAGACCCGUUGUCCUGUUUAUGUAGAUGAAUCGCCCGAAGUUGUACCCAUACAUACAAAAUUCCGAAAAAGAAAACAAAACGUCCAGUGCUGCCGCUACCGCCUGUCAGCGGCGAGUCUCCCGAUAUAGCGAUUUCAUACGAACUUUUUUCUGGUUACACUUUGAUUGUUGAACUCCACUUUGCAGAUCGUUGGCUAAAAAGAACUGGUCGCGUUUAAGGCACUGAAGUGUCCAGCGAAUAGAGAUGAAAUAUAAUAGCUCGUGGGCGUUGGGCAUCAAUGGAUAAACGUGGUUUCAGCGACUGUACCCAGACGUCUGAAACUGGGAACGCGUCUGCGGCAGUGGAACAGGAACUAGAGGAGCUUCAUCGGGAAGAAUGUCUGUUUCACGGUCUCCAACAUAAUGCGAAGUUCCAAGUCAAUGAAAGACUCUGUGUAAAUUUGUUCGAGCAUUUCGUCGACUGGACGAAUGUGCACUGCCUGAAUGACAGCUGCAAGGACCCGUUCCCAUCGCGUGAUUGGAGAGCUGGGAGACCUAGAAAAGGACAAAAAUUUGUCUCCAGCGCAGAUGAUGCCCAGCUGAUUAUUCACAUUCCAUUCAACCGCAAAGUGAAGCUCAUGGGUAUCUCCCUCGGAGUUGACCCAGAUAUGGUAUGCUGCGGGACACCACAGUGUUGUUGUAAAGCAAACGCGCGCAAUUGAA